CCUCUGAUAGCCCAGGGGCUUAGUGCUGAAUUGGUGCUCCAGUGACCUGGGUUCAAUUCCCAAGUCUGACAG